ACACCUGACUGAUGAAGGAUUUCGCAAAAUUCUAGAAUUAAGAGAAAAACUUAAUCCUGGAAUUGGACGAAAACGAAAAUACACAUUAUCAGAUGUAGUAACUUCAGAAGAAUCCUCAGAGACUAUACGCAAGACGGUUUCAAGUCAAUCAUUGGAAGUCGACGAUUUGAAAACGAUGAUAUAGUCCGACCUCAUUGGCGACAAUGAG
rnacentral:autocatalytically_spliced_intron from 1 species